rnacentral:rRNA from 1 species
GAUGAACGCUGGCGGCGUGCCUAAUACAUGCAAGUCGAGCGAACAGAUGAGGAGCUUGCUCCUCUGACGUUAGCGGCGGACGGGUGAGUAGCACGUGGAUAACCUACCUAUAAGACUGGGAUAACUUCGGGAAACCGGAGCUAAUACCGGAUAAUAUAUUGAACCGCAUGGUUCAAUAGUGAAAGACGGUUUUGCUGUCACUUAUAGAUGGAUCCGCGCCGCAUUAGCUAGUUGGUAAGGUAACGGCUUACCAAGGCAACGAUGCGUAGCCGACCUGAGAGGGUGAUCGGCCACACUGAAACUGAGCACCGGCCCAGACCCCUAGGGGAGGCCGCGGUAGGGAAGUUUCCGAAAUGGGCGAAAGCCUGAAGGAGCAACGCCGGGUGGGUGAUGAAGGUCUUCGGGUCGUAAAACUCUGUUAUUGGGGAAAAAAAAAGUUGUAAGUAACUAAGCCCGUCUGGCGGGACCUUAAUAGAAAACCCACGGUAAAUUACGG